rnacentral:rRNA from 1 species
UACGGGGGGGGCAAGCGUUGUUCGGAAUUACUGGGCGUAAAGGGCUUGUAGGCGGCCAACUAAGUCCGACGUGAAAUCCCUAGGCUUAACCUAGGAACUGCGUCGGAGACUGGAUGGCUUGAAUCCGGGAGAGGGAUGCGGAAUUCCAGGUGUAGCGGUGAAAUGCGUAGAUAUCUGGAGGAACACCGGUGGCGAAGGCGGCAUCCUGGACCGGCAUUGACGCUGAAAAGCGAAAGCCAGGGGAGCAAACGGG